rnacentral:tRNA from 1 species
GCAUUGGUGGUUCAGUGGUAGAAUUCUUGCCUUCCAUGCAGAAGGCCCAGGUUCAACUCCCAGUCAAGGCG